CCUAGUGGUUAGAGUGUAGAGGCGGCAGGGUAGCCUAGUGGUUAGAGUGUAGAGGUGGCAGGGUAGCCUAGUGGUUAGAGUGGAGAGGUGGCAGGGUAGCCUAGUGGUUAGAGUGGAGAGGUGGUAGGGUAGCCUAGUGGUUAGAGUGGAGUGGUGGCAGGGUAGCCUAGUGGUUAGAGUGUAGAGGUGGUAGGGUAGCCUAGUGGUUAGAGUGGAGAGGUGGCAGGGUAGCCUAGUGGUUAGAGUGUAGAGGUGGCAGGGUAGCCUAGUGGUUAGAGUGUAGAGGUGG